rfam:Salmo salar isolate Sally breed double haploid chromosome ssa08, whole genome shotgun sequence.
UGACUCAGUUGGUAGAGCAUGGUGUUUGCAACGCCAGGGUUGUGGGUUCGAUUCCCAU